rnacentral:rRNA from 1 species
UGGGGAAUAUUGCGCAAUGGGCGAAAGCCUGACGCAGCAACGCCGCGUGCGGGAUGAAGGCCUUCGGGUUGUAAACCGCUUUCAGCAGGGACGAAACCGACGGUACCUGCAGAAGAAGCCCCGGCUAACUACGUGCCAGCAGCCGCGGUAAUACGUAGGGGGCUAGCGUUAUCCGGAUUCAUUGGGCGUAAAGCGCGCGUAGGCGGGCUGUUAAGUCAGGUGUGAAAACCGGGGGCUCAACCCGCGGCCUGCACCUGAAACUGGCAGCCUCGAGUCUGGUAGAGGAAAGUGGAAUUCCCAGUGUAGCGGUGAAAUGCGCAGAUAUUGGGAGGAACACCAGUGGCGAAGGCGGCUUUCUGGGCCACGACUGACGCUGAGGCGCGAAAGCCAGGGGAGCGAACG